rnacentral:lncRNA from 1 species
CGUGUGAUGCGUUUUCAGAUCAUCACUCGACAACUUCCUGUUUACCGAACACUUGUAUGAUUUUACACAUGAUAGCCAAGUUGAAAAUUUUCGUCACAUUUUUCUCAGGAACUACAUUACAAGGAUUUCUGAAAUUUGGUUUCAGGAUUUAUAUAAGUCAGCUAUACCGUGUGAUGCGUUUUCAGAUUCAUCACUCGACAACUUCCUGUUUACCGAACACUUGUAUGAUUUUACACAUGAUAACCAAGUUAAAAAUUUUCGUCACAUUUUUCUCAGGAACUACAAUACAAGGAUUUCUGAAAUUUGGUUUCAGGAUUUAUAUAAGUCAGCUAUACCGUGUGAUGCGUUUUCAGAUUCAUCACUCGACAACUUCCUGUUUACCGAACACUUGCAUAUUUUUACACUAUUAAUAUUAUCCACUUGCGGCGGGGG